AUUUGUGUCCACCUAGUGUUGAAGCUAUUGUGUUGAAUGAAAGUACAUCGUCAUGUGAAAAUUGUGUUGAUCAACUUGUGUGUAAAACUUUUCCACCACUUGAGAAUAUGUGUGAUGUGAUUAAUGAAUCUCAAGUGAGUGAAGAAUUUGAAGAUGUUGGUCAAGGACAAAGGAGAGAACCCGUGACCCUAUGUUGUUGUAAAGAUUCUAAUGUUUGCUUGGCUCAUAGGGUUAAUCAUAUGCUUGA
rnacentral:lncRNA from 1 species